GCCUUCGUGGUGUAAUGGUCAGCACAUUGAGCCGGUAUUUCAGAGGUCCGCGGUUCGAUCCCCGGCGAAGGCA
rnacentral:tRNA from 1 species